GUUCUUUGAUGUUGAACAAGGGGUUUGAGAUAAUAGAGUUGAUAGUUGAUGUGUAGUACUACUUACAGGUGCACUCUCAUUUACAAUUGUGUAUAAAAGAACAUUGUUGAGUCAUUGAUAUAUUUUAAAGCUACUAGAAAUCUAUAGGCCUUCUGUAUAUAGCCUUGUUAGGAAAAUGGUGGAUGGUAAUAGGUCCUUUCAUGUUUGUACGUGGAGGAUAGUUCCAUGUCUUUAUCUCCGAAUCAUUUAAGUCAUCAACCAUUCUCUUUUUCUCAUUCUACCAUGAAUUGCUGAUUGGGUUUGCAUGUCUUUAUCUCCAUAGCUCUCAUCCUUGGAGAUGGACUCUAUAACUUCAUCAAAGUACUGUCUUUCACCAUCAGAAGCUUCCAUGGUAGAUUGAAAUGGAAGGACCCUCAGAAUAGGCCCUUGUUUACAUGUUACCACAUUCACGCACAUGUUCGAUGAUAGCAAAAGGGGUGGGUAGUUCAAUUGCAAGAAGAGAAUCAUUGCACGCCCACCAAAUCAAUGGCUUUGGUGACCAGAAGGUGUGCGCUUUAGGAUUUUUAUUUAUU